rnacentral:rRNA from 1 species
UACCCGCAGCACAAGUGGUGGUCAUUAUUAUUGGGCCUAAAGCGUCCGUAGCUGGCGUGUUAGAUGCCUGGGUAAAUCGAUGCGCUUAACGCAUCGAACUCCGGGUAGACCGGCAGGCUCGAGACCGGGAGAGGCGUGGGGUACUCGGGGGGUAGGGGUAAAAUCCGUUGAUCCAUUGAAGACCACCAGUGGCGAAGGCGGCUUGCCAGAAUGCGCUCGACGGUGAGGGAUGAAAGCUGGGGGAGCAAACCGG